UAGAGGAAGUAAAAGUCGUAACAAGGUCUCCGUUGGUGAACCAGCGGAGGGAUCAUUACUGAGUUUACGCUCUACAACCCUUUGUGAACAUACCUAUAACUGUUGCUUCGGCGGGUAGGGUCUCCGUGACCCUCCCGGCCUCCCGCCCCCGGGCGGGUCGGCGCCCGCCGGAGGAUAACCAAACUCUGAUUUAACGACGUUUCUUCUGAGUGGUACAAGCAAAUAAUCAAAACUUUUAACAACGGAUCUCUUGGUUCUGGCAUCGAUGAAGAACGCAGCGAAAUGCGAUAAGUAAUGUGAAUUGCAGAAUUCAGUGAAUCAUCGAAUCUUUGAACGCACAUUGCGCCCGCCAGCAUUCUGGCGGGCAUGCCUGUUCGAGCGUCAUUUCAACCCUCAAGCUCUGCUUGGUGUUGGGGCCCUACGGCUGACGUAGGCCCUCAAAGGUAGUGGCGGACCCUCCCGGAGCCUCCUUUGCGUAGUAACUUUACGUCUCGCACUGGGAUCCGGAGGGACUCUUGCCGUAAAACCCCCAAUUUUCCAAAGGUGACCUCGGAUCAGGUAGGAAUACCCGCU
rnacentral:rRNA from 1 species